CGGACGGGUGAGUAAUGCCUAGGAAAUUGCCCUGAUGUGGGGGAUAACCAUUGGAAACGAUGGCUAAUACCGCAUAAUGCCUACGGGCCAAAGAGGGGGACCUUCGGGCCUCUCGCGUCAGGAUAUGCCUAGGUGGGAUUAGCUAGUUGGUGAGGUAAGGGCUCACCAAGGCGACGAUCCCUAGCUGGUCUGAGAGGAUGAUCAGCCACACUGGAACUGAGACACGGUCCAGACUCCUACGGGAGGCAGCAGUGGGGAAUAUUGCACAAUGGGCGCAAGCCUGAUGCAGCCAUGCCGCGUGUGUGAAGAAGGCCUUCGGGUUGUAAAGCACUUUCAGUCGUGAGGAAGGUAGUGUAGUUAAUAGCUGCAUUAUUUGACGUUAGCGACAGAAGAAGCACCGGCUAACUCCGUGCCAGCAGCCGCGGUAAUACGGAGGGUGCGAGCGUUAAUCGGAAUUACUGGGCGUAAAGCGCAUGCAGGUGGUUUGUUAAGUCAGAUGU
rnacentral:rRNA from 1 species